rfam:Neurospora crassa OR74A linkage group V, whole genome shotgun sequence.
CUUGGGCUUCCGUGAUGAUUUACAAUCAUAAGCAUAGUUCAUCUGAAUUAUUCAUGAAGACAACUACGUAUUUUAUAGUCUUUCGCUCCCAUCUGAUUUUGCCCUUU